GAUUCCAUUUGGAAGACCAAAGCAGCCCUAAAAUCGCCAUUUUGCAAGUGGUUCCUGCUACCAGCAUCUCUUUCUUCCCAGCCACCAAUGUCAACAUGUGCAUGGGGGUGUCGGAGAACUAGUGAUGCAGUACCUGGCAUCUGUCUCCCUCGGAUUUAGUUCUUGACAACAUGGCCAGAGUUUGCUUGCUCUCUUCUCAGGGAAAUAUUCACAGUCAGUCAGGCCCAGACCAUAUAAGUAUGUUUCAGGAAGGGAUUAAACAGCACAGGUGCUGCUGGCAUAAUUAGACAAGCAGGCAGAAGCCAUGUGAAGACUGGGAAGAAAAUGUGUCUAAAAAGUUCCUGCAGCCCCAUGGGAACAAAAGAUAUCAAUCUAACCUUCAAGCAAAAGGGAUCAAAUGCCACCUAUGGUACAGCCAAGUGUGCAGCCAACCAACUACAUGCUCAGCUGGCUUUGAUGGGUCUGUAUGGAGUGUAUGUCCGUGCCAGAUUUGACCUGAAGCAUUUGGAAGAGGAGCUAAGUGGUUAUACUACCACUGAAGAAAAGUGGAAUUGCAGAGACCUUGAUGGAAAGCAGCUGCCUGAAACACAAGCCAAACUUCAUGGAGAUGAUCCUUGUACAUAAGACACCCUUGGUAUGACCCAACUCAGUUUUUGGCAAUUAGCAGUUACAGGUAGGAAAGGGGGAAUUGUUAAGGAUAAAAUCAGAACUUUGCUCCAUGAAUCUACUUUUUUAGAACAAAAGUAGAACAGUCCCGUCUUGAGUUCCGGGAGGUACCUGGGUAGCAUCUUUCUUUUAUUUUUACAUGUGCUUUUGGUUGCUGGUUCUGUUGUGGAUCAAGAGGACAUGGGGAAGUAAUUAAAUAUAUUGAGUGGUGGCUGCGUGUGCUCAAAAUCUCAGUAACAUCCCUCUUCUCAGAAGGGUGCCCCAUCUUAUGUCCAUGCAGAUGGGUGGAAGUUCUGCCACGGAGUUUAAUGGGAGCAAGGUUGAGCCCAUGAUUUUUAGCCCAUUUUAAACUCAAGCCAUUUGGAUAGGCAAUAAAAUUUCCAUCUCUUUAUUUGAACAAAACAGGUUCUCACAAUAAUUUGGCCUUAUACUGACAUCUAUAGUCUUAUCAUAGCUUCAAACCUGUGUCUCUAACAGCAUAGUAGUUCCUUAUUUCAGUAAAGGUAACACCUUUAGGGGGACUGCAUAUAGUAUACACAGGCAUGAGGAACAUAGUGAGUACAGUAUAUGUAAUAUAUGCAGUGAGCCAUGAUCUAGGGAUUUGCAGCUCACUAAGGCAUUAGAGUUACUUCUCUGAAUGAACUACCACAGCUCUCAAGAUUCAGUCACAAGACAUAUGGCCAUCACCUUAACCUGUACAAGAGCAGACAUAUGAGUUCUUUGUUUUCUUGCUGAUACAAGGACAAUUCUGCUUAGUUUUUCCUCACUGCAAAAUAAAAUGCAGUAGCUUUGCAUGCAAGCAACAGUUAUUGGCAGGAUGAAAAGUUUUAGUUUAGUAUUGAUUUUAGGUCAGGGAGUUUUCUCCAGCUGAGUAUUUGUAGGACAUUCUGUAUAGAACAGUAUAUAGGCAAAGGACCCCCAGCCUCUGACAGCGUGAACUGUCAAUAUUCUGAGUGAGGAUGUUUUCUUUGAUUCUGCUCCUUUUCACAUAGUCUUAUCCCAAGCCCAGUGCCCCUCUACUGAGAAAGCAGAGAUGUGCUUUGAAAGGGAAUAGUGGGGAGGCAAAAAAAGAGAUUUGUAUUUUCUUGAAACCAGCUUAGCUAAUUGAACAAGCUUUGCUUUUUAAACUGUUCCUUUGGUUUGAACUCUGAAAAUAAAGCUCGAGAUACUCCUGAGUUCUGAUCUGUAAGUGCUUGGCUCUUGUGUAUGUGUUUCCCUGUGUGUCUUUUUAAAAUAAUGUGUUGUUUCAGUCAUUUCCCUGCCUUCAGGGAUCUCUGCUCAGCUGAGCUUGUCAAAAUGUUUCCUACAGGUUUUUCAAUUUCUGUCACCACUUCCAUUAACACUUUUGGAUGUCUCCUGGACUGGGUGCCUUGUCAGUUUGAAGGAUCUCUGACCUUUUAAAUAAGUGUUUUGACUGUUAUCUGCACUGAAGAUAUGCUGAACAGGUUAGUCAGUUGAUACCUACUUUACAUCAGACUGCCACUUUUAUUUAGGGGAAGCAGGUAUUGAUACAGCCCUUGGGAAAUUCAGGGGAAGGAAAUACUUCUGAUGAAGUUAACAGACUAUUUAAUGUCACUACUGAUGUAUACAGAUGUAGCUGAAAGAGGAGAUGUGUGGGUUAAUUAAUUAGAAAAUGCCUGCAACGUGUGUCUACCCGUACCCCUAUGUGUUCAGCAUACUGAAAUAUCCAUGCAGAGAAAUCACGUUUCCUUACCAGUGAAUCAGUAUUUCUGGCACUAAAAUUUCAUCACUGAAGUAGCCUGUCUGAAGAGAUCAGCAAGUUGAAUGACAUGAUACAGCAUAUCUCCUGAGAAUGAGCAUCAGGGACAGAUAGCAAUUUAUUCUCUCUAUGGCACCUGCAGUUGAUGGGUUGCUGCCUGAUUUCUAAAGUGGUUACCAUUAAAAAGUCAGCACUUGCCAACAAUUAUCAUAUGAUGCUAUCGAAAAUGUCUCUUUCAAACUGGCCUUGUCAGCAUGUACACAUUGGUACAAACCUAUAAUGCAGGCAUUUGACUUAAUUAGGUCACAUGCCAAAAUAAACUGCUACAGCAGUGUAGCUACACUGGGGUAGACUUCCAUAAUGUAGACAGGAAACGAGUAUGGGGGGAAACUGUGGUAUUUUGGGCACUGUUAUGUUGUAACUCGUGGCAAAUACUGACUUGUUAAUAGUGACUGUUAUGUUUGUCGGUGUCCUUUGCAUGUAUAAACAGUUAAAUAGUUCAUGAUCUGCUUUUAUGUUUUCCAGUGAAAUUCUGUAACAGUUACCCUUUCUUAAAAA